UACGUAGGGGGCUAGCGUUGUCCGGAAUCAUUGGGCGUAAAGCGCGUGUAGGCGGUUCGGUAAGUCCGCUGUGAAAGUCGGGGGCUCAACCCUCGGAAGCCGGUGGAUACUGUCGGGCUAGAGUACGGAAGAGGCGAGUGGAAUUCCUGGUGUAGCGGUGAAAUGCGCAGAUAUCAGGAAGAACACCCGUGGCGAAGGCGGUUCUCUGGGACGGUACUGACGCUGAGACGCGAAAGCGUGGGGAGCGAACAGG
rnacentral:rRNA from 1 species